AACAUCCACCAUCCUGAGGCAGAAUGGCUUUCCAAUUGCAGUACCAGGUCUUUGUGGGGCUUCCAUAGGAUAAUGCACGUAAAGCCCUUAGCUCCAGCCCAGCACAAACCAAGAGCUCCACAGACAGCAGAGUGACUUCUGACUUGAACCUGCGGUGUGCUUUGAGAGAUCCUCCACCAGAUCAUCUCAGCUUUGGUCCCUUGGAACCACCCACUAGCAGCAGUGAUAAAGUAAGUGUAUAUUUUAAAUUUUCUUUCAAUCAGCUAUAAAUGGAAAUCUCAGUUUUGCUCAGUGGUUUUCACCAGAGACAGUUUCAUUCAGCUACAUUAUCAGUGAAUGGUAGUAUAAUAAAUGGGAGUUUUAUAUAUAGGAAAGAUAAUAAACCUCUUUAAAAUAUGUGAAAAGGAUAAUGCAUAGAAAUGAAAUACAUAAACACUGCUUAUCAAUCUUGAAUACUACAUGUAGCAUAACAGAGUAUAUUUGCAGCCACCGAAUGGAGUGGUUUUUAUCUUCAUCCCGGGCAGCUGCCAGAAUCCUCUCAUGGGGCACAUUACAACAGCCUCUUCCUCUGUUUUUAAAUAGGGCCAUAACCCAAGAAGUGUCUCAAAUGGCAUUAAGCACCAGUUAACAUCUAGCAGAGUUUAGUACUUAAUGCACAUAUAAUAGAAAUGUGGUGGGGAAUGAAGGGGUGGAUUAAUUAAUUCAUGAACUUCUUCUCUGUGAGGUCCUCACCAGUAAGAGGUAAUGUGGUGCCACUGGGUGGUGCCCCAAAUCUGGAGCUAGAUGCUUGAGUUCAGCUCCUGGCUCUGCACUCACUAGCUGCAUGACUUUGGUCCAAAUCUUUCAGUACCUGGGGUUUUCCAUCCUUAAAAUGGGGCUAAUAACACUACCUCUCUUGUUGUUGUUAUGAAGUUACUGUAAGAAUUAAACGAAUGAAUAUUUACAUAAUGCUUAAAAUAAUGCCUAGCACAUCAUAAUCUAUAAAAUGUUUGUUGAAUACAUGAAAUAUUGAGGUAUUCUGAGGCCUUAUAUUUAAGAGACCAAAAAACUUGUUUGACCUAGAUGCAAUGAUGCUCCAGUAGCAAGAAAUGUACCUACUGCCCAAAUCCUGGUUUCAGUAUGAUUUCCCAGUGAAAAGAACCAGAGAAAUAGCUGAUUGAGGACUGGCACAAAAAAUAUGCAAAAUGAGCCUGGAGUCUCUUACAGAGCCAGAAGGUAAAAGAAGAAAGAUAAAACAAAAGCAAAAAACAUCUCAUAAUGGUGAAUGUGACACAAUGUGUGUCAAAAGAACACAGGAGCCAACUGAAGGAACACCCAGUGGUCAAAGCUUGAACAAUCUGAGCCACAAAAUAAAUAAGCGGUAUUGAGAUAUAAGCCAAGUCUGAUAAAAUAAAUAUCUAUUUAUAUGUGUAUGCAUAAAUAUGUAUAUUUAUAUACACAUAAAAUACAUAAAAAUGUGUGUAUAUAUAUGCAUACACACACACACACAUAUAUAUAUACACACAUACACAUAUAUAUGACUGGAUAAAUACAUGAGGAAAAUAGACAAAUUCUUAUGCAGAAGAAUUCCACAUAAUGUAAGUGGAUACUCAGGAAGUAAAAAACAUAACUCUGGAUGGGGUUUCACAUAAUUUCUUUCUUCCAAAGAGUAUAGUGUGGAAAGAAGUCAAUGAAAUAACAACUCUCAGUAGAGAAACCUGACAAACACUACCUCAAGCCAGGUAAUCCAGGUGAAUAUAAAUGGUGAUGUGUCGUAUUGAUAUAGGUAGGCAUCCUUCACAUGAUGUGAUGAGAAUGGCACUUGACCUCUGUCAUCUUCCUCCCAAAACAUACUACCCUAAUCUGAUCAUGAGAAAAACAUAAGACAAUCUCAGUAAAGGUGCAUCUUAUGAAACACCUGACCAGCCCUCAAAACUGUCAAGGUUAUCAAAAGCAAAGAAAGCCUGAGAAACUACCACAACCAAGAAAAGCCUAAGGAAACUGGACGAUUAACUAUAAGGUGGUUUCUUAGAAGGGAUCCUGGGACAGAAAAAGGACUUUAGGUACAGACUAAGGAAAUCUGAAUAAAGUAUGGAGUUUCGUUAAUAAUAAUGUAUCAUUGUUUGUUCAUCAAUUGUGAAAAAUGUACCAUCCUAACAUAGGAGAUAACCACAGUGGAAACUGGGAUUGGGGUUUACAACAAUUCUCUGUAGCAGCGUCACAACAGUUCUGCAAGUCGGGAACUCUUCAAAAACCAUUUUUAAAAAUGAAGGCUGCAGGUAGAAAAAAACGGUUUGAAGGUAUACUCUCCAAUUUUCAAGUACCAAGAUAACGGUAUUUUGAAAAAUGUUGAAUUCAACGAAUUUAUGUUUUGAGACUUAUAAAUGGAGAGUUAUAUUUCACAUUCAAGGUUUGAAUUGGAUAGAGGUGUACCUAUCAAUAGAGCAUUCAGUUAUAUUUCAGCUCUCCUCAAAUGGAGGGAAAAAAUAGCACUGGCAGCACAAGCCUUUUUUUUUUGCAAGAAUAAUUAUUACUGGAGUUCAAAGUGGAUUCUCAUAUAUGCAUUAGCCAUAUAUUGCAGCCUAACACAUUACCAUACCCUUAGUGGCUUCAAAUAGCGUAGCAUCAUUAUUCCACAGUUUCGGUGGAUCAGGAAUCUGAGUGUAUCUUAGCUGGGUCCUCUACUUAGGGUCUCAUGAGGAUAUAAUCAAGAUGUUGGCUGGGCUGUGUUCCUUUCUGGAGCUUGUUUUUUUUUCUCCUAGGUUCACAGGGUCGUUGGUGGAAUUCACUUGAGGUUGUAGGACUGAGGUCCCUUGUUUUCUUGCAGGUGGUCACCUGGGGUGCUCUCACCUCCCAGGCCGUCUUCAUGAUGUCUUGCCCUGUGGCCAUUGGCCUCUCACAGACCUUGUCACAACCUGGCUGCUGACUUCAAAGCCAACAGGAGGCUCUCUGACCUCUGUCUGCUAGGACAGAGGCUUAUAUAGUGUACUCUCAUCCAGGGAGUGCCUGGCUCACAUGGCUUUGCUGUACUCUAUUGGCUGGGAGCAAGUCACAGUUUGUGCCCGCAUUCAAGGGGAACAGAUUGUGCCCUAUCCCAGGGUGUGACUCACUGGGCAGUCGCUAGGGUAUGGCCACUACCACAGGAGGGUUUUGAAACAGACCGAAGCAGCUGAGCAUCCAGGAGCAAAGUAAGUAAGAGGAGAACAGGUCAGAAAUGCUUGCCUCUUGCCUUCAAGCAAACUAUAGCUUGAAGUAACUAAAUAUGAUAUCCCUCCACCACCCCUCUUUCUGCUCUCCCCGCAAAUAAGCAGCAUUGUUUAACUUGUAGGAAUAUUUUUAAACUUUGAGGAAUAUUUGAAGAUGAAGGAGGCAGAGAAAAAUACUUGGAGAGAGUUCAUAAAUACCUCACCAUUUUCCUGACAAGGGUGAUUUUCCUCCUUAGCAGUGAAGAAAUUUGCACAAAAUAUGUUCUCAGCUCAGUGACAACAUCAUUUAUGCACUUUGAGAAUUCUCAUGAUAAAAGUUCAAAUAAUAGGAUCUUAUUUUCUUUUUCUUUUUUUUCUCCUUUUCUAGGGUCACUCCCGUGGCACAUGGAGGUACCCUGGCUAGGGGUUGAAUCGGAGCUGUUGCUGCUGGCCUACACUACAGCCACAGCAACACCAGAUCUGAGCUGCGUCUGCGACCUACACCACAGCUAAUGGCAGCACUGGAUCCUUAACCCACUGUGUGAGGCCAGGGAUUGAACCCACACCCUAAUGGUUCCUAGUCAGACUUGUUAACCACCACGCCACUAUGGGAACUCCACAGACCUCAUUUUCAAAGUUUCAUGACUUAGUUUCUUUUUUCAUUUUUGAGACUCUUGCAUUUUUAAAUAUUUAAUGUUUUUAACUUGUCUAGUAAUUAAUAGAAUGAUAACUGUUUAGCUUAAAUUUUUUACCUUUUCCAUGAGGCUUAUAAAUUUGAUAUUUCUUAAGUAUCCAUUUUCACUGAUUUCUUCUUACGGGUUCUGAAUCCUUUUCUUAUAAAAUAUUAACUAUAGAAAUUCUGCUCUUGUCAUUUUGCUGCAGUAUUAUCAUCAUCCCCUAGAUUCUCAGAAACUCUUUUUUUUUUUUUUCCUGAUUGUUCCUUAUAACACUAAAACAUCCCAGAAAUCCUAACGUUUAGUCAUUGGAACUGCAUUUGCCAAGUUGCUGCUUGCAUCUGGAAAUAAAACACAAGCAUCCUUUGUGAGACCCUGCGUCUAAAUUGUGGGUUUGGAUAAUGUGAUCCCUGUCCGUGCAUCUCCGUGGAGGUUAAUACAAACCUAUUAGCCGAUUGAACCAGAGACCUUUGUUGUCUGUGUCUCAGAUAUGCAGCCACCCUGAAGAAAAUGGGCAACUUGUGGAAAUGAAGCUUACUAGCAGCCACGCUGACAUGAAAAGAAAAUACCUAUUCUUAGAAUUUUGUCAAGAAACUCAAAGGAGAAACGAUUUCUUGUGGAUCCUCCUCCCCCACCCUUCACUUCUUUUUCUGCCUCUAUUUUUCUUUUUUCUUCUCACUCACAACUAAGCCUUGGACUGUGGCUGUUAGUUUCUCUUAUGCCAAGGGGUACAAACGGUUGCUCUUCAGAAUGGCGAGAACAUAAACAAUUGUAGCUCUUGGUAAAACAACUCAUUUAGCAAAUAAAGGUCAAAGCUUGCCUGCUUGCUUCCUUCCUUUCUUGGGGUUAUUUUCUUUGUAGGAAUUAAAGAAAGGGAUCUCUUUGAAAAUAUAGAAUAAGUUAGAGCAAAUAGAAGUAACCUUUUCUGCUUGUGAAGGAAGUAUUAAGUGAAAACCCAGAAGAAGAGCAUUUGUCUUUGGCUGGAAGGUCACAGGAUAAAACGAUUCUUUAUCGGAGCUGAAUCCGAGGGAAGGUCUUGGAAUUUGCUAAUGUUGCUGGCCUGUGCUGACCAUCAGAUCUCUUUGCCCAGGUUUUAGAGGGAUUUAGACUUGCCUGAUAAUUUCACCAGAUUUAUUUACUGGGUAUCUUCCUAUAUGUCUUUGUAUUUUUUUCAUCUAUUACCAAAAUUCUGGAUUUAUGUAAAAUAUGAUUGGAGCAACCAAUAGAUCUUUUUAUCAAAAGACCUGGAUUUAAUUUGAAGUAGUUUAUUUUCUAAAUAGUAUCUCUGUACAUGAUGUCUGUCUUGAGAUUUUGUUUCUAAGCCAUUCUAACAUCAUUUUGCAUCAUCGUGAGCAAAUCUAAGUUGGAUUUCCCUGUUUGGGAGUACCGAGGUAGUAAUCGGUUGUGGUCCUUUGGGUCUUCUAUUGGCAUAAGAUGGGUAUUCACAGGAGUUCCUAUCGUGGUGCAUCGGAAAUGAAUCUGACUAGGAACCAUGAGGUUGCAGGUUCGAUCCCUGGCCUCGCUCAGUGGGUUAAGGCUCUGGCAUUGCCUUGAGCUGUGGUGUAGGUUGCGGAUGUGGCUCAGAUCUGGCGUUGCUGUGCCUGUGGUGUAGGCUGGCAGCUGUAGCUCCAAUUAGACCCCUAGCCUGGGAACCUCCAUAUGCCUUGGGCAUGGCCCUAAAAAGUUAAAAAAAAAAAAAAA
rnacentral:lncRNA from 1 species